AGAAAGAUUGCAGUUCAUCUCAAGGUUCUAUCUUCUCUCAAAUAAUACAAUCAUACUACUUUUACAAAGCAAAUAUACAUUUUUUUGAGCCUCAGAAAUCGAGAUUUGUACCAUACUCAAGAUCCAUGAUCUUUUUUUUCUAAAUUUCUUUUGCAAGGAAACUACUAUUGAAUGAAUUCUACCUUUUCCUUUCUAAGUUUCCCUGCAAAAAAUUUCCAUAAUGUUGAAUGCUGUACUAAAAUGAUGUUCAAAAAGGAGAUCAAAUCAUGCACGGCUUCAUUUUAAGCAGAAUAAAAAUUGGGAGGCUUUUGGCCUACUACAAUAAUGUAGACUGAAAAUUCUCUCAUGCAGCCCUUAGAUGCCUAUGAAUACUUGAUUGCUACUCUAUGUUCUAGUCCAAUUUCAUAGUGUAGAUCGUUGAUAUAUGAACUUGUGUGAACUUUAACAAGAAGAACAUUUGAUGUUUAUUCUUACGUAUGUGUUUGAAACUUAGAGCCUCUCUGAUACCAUACGCA
rnacentral:misc_RNA from 1 species